UACGUAGGGGGCAAGCGUUGUCCGGAAUUAUUGGGCGUAAAGGGCGUGUAGGCGGUAAUGCAAGUCAGAUGUGAAAGGCUACGGCUCAACCGUAGAAGUGCAUCUGAAACUGUGUAACUUGAGUGCAGGAGAGGAAAGUGGAAUUCCCGGUGUAGCGGUGGAAUGCGUAGAGAUCGGGAGGAACACCAGUGGCGAAGGCGGCUUUCUGGCCUGCAACUGACGCUGAGGCGCGAAAGCGUGGGGAGCGAACAGG
rnacentral:rRNA from 1 species